CCUACGGGAGGCAGCAGUGGGGGAUAUUGCACAAUGGGGGAAACCCUGAUGCAGCGACGCCGCGUGAGUGAAGAAGUAUUUCUGUAUGUAAAGCUCUAUCAGCAGGGAAGAAAAUGACAGUACCUGACCAAGAAGCCCCGGCUAACUACGUGCCAGCAGCCGUGGUAAUACGUAGGGGGCCAGCGUUAUCCGGAUUUACUGGGUGUAAAGGGAGCGUAGACGGUUAUGUAAGUCUGGAGUGAAAGCCCGGGGCCCAACCCCGGGAUUGCUUUGGAAACUGUGUAACUGGAGUGCAGGAGGGGCAGGCGGAAUGCGUGGUGUAGCGGUGAAAUGCAUAGAUAUCAGGAAGAACACCGACGGCGAAGGCAGCCUGCUAGACUAAAACUGACGUUGAGGCUCGAAAGCGUGGGGAGCAAACAGGAUUAGAUACCCCGGUAGUC
rnacentral:rRNA from 1 species